GCCUGGCUGGCUCAGUUGGUACAGCGUGCAACUCUUGAUCUCACGUCAUGAGUUUGAGCCUCAUGUUGGGCA
rnacentral:tRNA from 1 species